rnacentral:rRNA from 1 species
CCUACGGGUGGCAGCAGUGGGGAAUCUUCGGCAAUGGGCGCAAGCCUGACCCAGCAACGCCGCGUGAAGGAAGAAGGCUUUCGGGUUGUAAACUUCUUUUCUGAGGGACGAAGAAAGUGACGGUACCUCAGGACUAAGCCACGGCUAACUUCGUGCCAGCAGCCGCGGUAAUACGUAGGUGGCAAGCGUUAUCCGGAUUUAUUGGGAGUAAAGGGCGUGUAGGCGGGAAAGCAAGUCAGAUGUGAAAACUCAGGGCUCAACCCUGAGCCUGCAUUUGAAACUGUUUUUCUUGAGUGCUGGAGAGGCAAUCGGAAUGCCGUGUGUAGCGGUGAAAUGCGUAGAUAUACUGAGGAACACCAGUGGCGAAGGCGGAUUGCUGGACAGUAACUGACGCUGAGGCGCGAAAGCGUGGGGAGCAAACAGGAUUAGAUACCCUUGUAGUC